rnacentral:rRNA from 1 species
UACGGAGGGAGCGAGCGUUGUUCGGAAUUACUGGGCGUAAAGCGUGCGCAGGCGGAUUUUCAAGUCAGAAGUGAAAAUCCCAGGGCUCAACCCUGGAAUUGCUUUUGAAACUGGAUAUCUUGAGUCUCGGAGAGGUUGGCGGAAUUCCCAGUGUAGCAGUGAAAUGCGUAGAUAUUGGGAGGAACACCAGUGGCGUAAGCGGCCAACUGGACGAGUACUGACGCUCAUGCACGAAAGUGUGGGGAUCAAACAGG